rnacentral:sRNA from 1 species
UUAAACUAUGAAGUCUAACAAUAUGUUUUAAUCUGUUUGUUCAUAAUGAGUACUUAAUGAGAUGAACCCAAAUAAUUCACCAACAUCUAAGGUGAUCCCUACUCAAUAUAUCUCCAUUAUGGGGACGGAUUCAGUGAUUUUUUCCGAAAAAAAGUCACUAAAUCUGUCCUCCUCCGUUAUCCACCAUCUUAAGUCAUCGUAUAUGACCAGAAAUAGAUUCCAGGGAUUCUUAAGACACAUAUAACACGUGAACAAAUAAUUAUGUAUGAGCACAAUCUAUCAAAAACGACUAUCUCUCUUUGUUAAUUAAGAGAGUUAUACUCAUCAUUUACCAUUCAAUUAUUGGCCAUCAGCAUCUCUACAUUGAAAAUAUAAGAAAGAAACUCACAUUACAUUUCUACACAACAUGAUUUGAAAUUCAAGAAGGUGGGCUUAUGAGAUCAAAUCACGGUGUCUGCUCAUCAGCAUCUUGUUUGACAAGUUUCUUUUGAGCAUUGUGCCAAGAGAGGCCUCUGUAAACGUUGACGGAAAAGGUUGCGGUGAGGUAAAUGGUGGUGAAUCCGAGAGCGGCCGUGAAAGUCUUGAAAGCAUAAUCGCCAACCUUACCUGCUACUCCCAUUCUCACCCAAUUCUACUAACUAGGGCUUAC